UCUGCUGGUCUGGACUGGAAAUUGCCUUAGUUAAGAACAACUGUCUCCUCGAUGACGGACACCAUCCUCAGGGACAUAGAUAUGAUGCCUGGAGGUACAGCAGCCAUCUUGCAACCUCGAAAAAAAAGCCACUCACUUCAGGAUGGCGGAGCGGGAAAGUAAAAGAGCUGAGGCCCUAGAUGACAUCCGUAAGUGGCUGAACUUUCCUCUGACUUCUUGUCAGAAUGUGACAAAAGCCCUGAGUGGGAACUUCCAAGACCUGGCAAAACCAGCCGCCACGUAGGCAGCCAGACUACCCUGAGAACGCCAUGCUGUAAGGAAGCCCACGCUAACCACGUGGAGAGGCAACAUGAUGGAGCACCAAAGUAGACAGACCUGUGAGCAUGCCUUCCUGGACCUGCCAGCCCAGCUACCAGCUGAGUGCUUCCAAGUUCUCCAGCUGACACCUCUUGGAGAAGAAAACUGCUCAA